rnacentral:rRNA from 1 species
GACGAACGCUGGCGGCGUGCUUAACACAUGCAAGUCGAACGGAAAGGCCCUGCUUUUGUGGGGUGCUCGAGUGGCGAACGGGUGAGUAACACGUGAGUAACCUGCCCUUGACUUUGGGAUAACUUCAGGAAACUGGGGCUAAUACCGGAUAGGAGCUCCUGCUGCAUGGUGGGGGUUGGAAAGUUUCGGCGGUUGGGGAUGGACUCGCGGCUUAUCAGCUUGUUGGUGGGGUAGUGGCUUACCAAGGCUUUGACGGGUAGCCGGCCUGAGAGGGUGACCGGCCACAUGGGGACUGAGAUACGGCCCAGACUCCUACGGGAGGCAGCAGUGGUGAAUAUUGCACAAUGGGCGGAAGCCUGAUGCAGCAACGCCGCGUGCGGGAUGACGGCCUUCGGGUUGUAAACCGCUUUCGCCUGUGACGAAGCGUGAGUGACGGUAAUGGGUAAAGAAGCACCGGCUAACUACG